rnacentral:rRNA from 1 species
CGUAGGUGGCAAGCGUUGUCCGGAUUUAUUGGGUUUAAAGGGUGCGUAGGUAGCCCUGUAAGUCAGUGGUGAAAUAUCUCAGCUUAACUGAGAGGGUGCCAUUGAUACUGCAGGGCUUGAGUACAGAUGAGGUAGGCGGAAUUGACGGUGUAGCGGUGAAAUGCAUAGAUAUCGUCAAGAACACCGAUAGCGAAGGCAGCUUACCAAGCUGUAACUGACACUGAGGCACGAAAGUGUGGGGAUCAAACAGGAUUAGAUACCCUGGUAGUCCACACUGUAAACGUUGAUGACUCGAUGUUGGCGAUACACAGCCAGCGUCCAAGAGCAAUCGUUAAGUCAUCCACCUGGGGAGUACGCCGGCAACGGUG